rnacentral:rRNA from 1 species
AUUGAACGCUGGCGGCAUGCUUUACACAUGCAAGUCGAGCGGAGAUGAGGUGCUUGCACCUUAUCUUAGCGGCGGACGGGUGAGUAAUGCUUAGGAAUCUGCCUAUUAGUGGGGGACAACAUUCCGAAAGGAAUGCUAAUACCGCAUACGUCCUACGGGAGAAAGCAGGGGAUCUUCGGACCUUGCGCUAAUAGAUGAGCCUAAGUCGGAUUAGCUAGUUGGUGGGGUAAAGGCCUACCAAGGCGACGAUCUGUAGCGGGUCUGAGAGGAUGAUCCGCCACACUGGGACGGGGACACGGCCCAGAAUCCUACGGGAGGCAGCAGUGGGGAAGAUUGGACAAUGGGGGGAACCCUGAUCCAGCCAUGCCGCGUGUGUGAAGAAGGCCUUAUGGUUGUAAAGCACUUUAAGCGAGGAGGAGGCUACUGAGACUAAUACUCUUGGAUAGUGGACGUUACUCGCAGAAUAAGCACCGGCUAACUCUGUGCCAGCAGCCGCAGUAAAAC